UACGUAGGGUGCAAGCGUUGUCCGGAAUUAUUGGGCGUAAAGAGCUCGUAGGCGGUCUGUUGCGUCAGCUGUGAAAACCCGGGGCUAAACCCCGGGCCUGCAGCCGAUACGGGCAGACUAGAGUUCGGCAGGGGAGACUGGAAUUCCUGGUGUAGCGGUGAAAUGCGCAGAUAUCAGGAGGAACACCGGUGGCGAAGGCGGGUCUCUGGGCCGAUACUGACGCUGAGGAGCGAAAGCGUGGGGAGCGAACAGG
rnacentral:rRNA from 1 species